rnacentral:rRNA from 1 species
ACUGAACGCUGGCGGCAGGCCUAACACAUGCAAGUCGAGCGGUAACACAGAGGAGCCUGCUCCUUGGGUGACGAGCGGCGGACGGGUGAGUAAUGCCUGGGGAUCUGCCCGAUAGAGGGGGAUAACUACGGGAAACUGUAGCUAAUACCGCAUAAUGUCUACGGACCAAAGUGGGGGCUCUUCGGACCUCAUGCUAUCGGAUGAACCCAGGUGGGAUUAGCUAGUUGGUGAGGUAAUGGCUCACCAAGGCGACGAUCUCUAACUGGUUUGAGAGAAUGACCAGUCACACUGGAACUGAGACACGGUCCAGACUCCUACGGGAGGCAGCAGUGGGGAAUAUUGCACAAUGGGCGCAAGCCUGAUGCAGCCAUGCCGCGUGUGUGAAGAAGGCCUUCGGGUUGUAAAGCACUUUCAGCGGGGAGGAAGGGUCGCUAGUUAAUACCUAGUGGCAUUGACGUUACUCGCAGAAGAAGCACCGGCUAACUCCGUGCCAGCCGCCGCAGUAAAAC